rnacentral:pre_miRNA from 1 species
GUUACCUGGGGAUCUUGCUAAAAUGCACAUUCCAAUUCAGCAGGUGUAGAAGGAAGUAUGAGAUUCUGAAUUUCUAGCAAGUUCCAGGGUAAUGCAAA